rnacentral:rRNA from 1 species
AGUGAACGCUGGCGGUAGGCCUAACACAUGCAAGUCGAACGGCAGCACAGUAAGGGUUUGCUCUUACGGGUGGCGAGGGGCGGAGGGGUGAGGAAUACAUCGUUAUCUACUGUUUCGUGGGGGAUAACUGAGGGAAACUUACGCUAAUACCGCAUACGACCUACGGGUGAAAGUAGGGGAUCUUCGGACCUUGCGCGAUUGGAUUAGCAGAUGUCGGAUUAGCUAGUUGGGUGGGUAAAGGCCCACCAAGGCGACGGUCCGUAGCUGGUCUGAGAGGAUGAUCAGCUCCACUGGACCUGAAACACGGUCCAGACUACUCUGGGAGGCAGCAGAGGGGAAUGUUAGACAAUGGGAGCAAGCCUGAUCCAGUCCUACCGCGUGGGUGACAGAGGCAUUCGGGUUGUAAAGGCCUUUUGUUGGGAAACAAAAGCAGCCGCUUCAUACCCCGCUGUUCUGACGGUACCGAAAGAAUAAGCACCGGCUAACUCCGUG